AUCUAAAUAGCUUAUAUAAUAUAGCGUGGCACUGAAGAUGCUAAGGAAACCUCAGGUUUUUAGAUA
rnacentral:tRNA from 2 species